GGGCUCGAUGCAGAGAAGAAAGAUGUCCCCUCUCCCCGACUUCUCAUCUCUCUCCCACGAUGUGUGCACCGCCGCCAGGUCCGUUCUCAUCUGGUUAAUCUGAACGGGCAUAUUUUCUUUCUGCUCUACCUCAGGAGACCUCCUCCCCUGAGCGCUCCCCUCCCUCAGGAGACCUCCUCCCCGACCUCUCGUUUUCUCUACCGACGGCCGACGUGGUGGUGUACCGCCGCCGUCACGGCGCUGAAACCGGCGAGAUCCUGCGUCCCCAUCGUGGCCCAGAUUCCCUAUGCCACCAGUACACCGAACACCUCAAGAUUCGUAUGUGAAAGGAGGUGCAUGGGAGAAAAGAUGCCAGAGUUGCGUAGUGGAGUGUGAUAAUAUAUUCAAGUCAAGGAAAGUUGUGGUGACCAACACGAUUAUCCAUCACGUCCAGCGGGGACGCUGCAAGAAUCAUGGCCCCCAUGUGUGCUAUUGUCCAACACAGCCGCUGCCCUUUCACACUACCUCCACGCCGGUUGUGUUUUCCCUACAAGUACAUCUCGCUUCUCUCCUGCAAUAUUACUAGGCUGGAGAUGGGUGUCAUGGCUUCAGAGGCGUCAACAUUGACUGCAAAUACAUUCUGAAAAUUGAAUUGUUUGAAAUUCUUAGUAUAUGCAAUUCUGUAAAUUGUAUCUGUAUGUAUGUGAAGGUCUUUUCAAAAUGGAGCAGAAAGAAAAGAACAGAGCUUUUGAUUUAGCUUAGUAGAGAAAGACUGAAACACAUUUCAUUUAUAUCACAGGAAUGGAUGCCUUGGUGUCUGCAUUUUAUUCCGAGGAGAAAACACAUCCAGAGAAAAAACAAGAAUGAGUUGUCUAACUAGGUUAGCUAUCCACCUAUGUAUUUCUCUUUUUAUUCUAUGUAUUCAUUACUCAUUUCAGUUACUCUUCAUCUCUUAAAUUAUUAUAGAAACAAAUAUCUUUUUGGGCUGUUGUGUGCAAAUCAUAUUUGAAGUUUCCAUGCACAACGAGGACGAUUAUGUGCCUCUUUUAAGUCAUCCACGGUCAGAUUCAUUCUUGUCUUGGCUCUUACUUGGGCAAAAACUGGAAUAUCCUCUUUGGGAAUGAUGUUAGUCAGAAACUCAAUAUUAAUUUUGCACUUUAAGAAAGAGUCAAGUUUGUUAUGUAGCAUUAUAUUUGGCUCAGAUAGUUCUUGGAUGCCUUCCACGGGUCGAUGGGACGUUUUGCUCACCUUGCAAAAGUAAAGCAAUGAAGAAAUUUGUAAGGUGGGAACACUCGAAUCUCAGAGGUAAGUGUGCCAUGCUCUCCCUCUUGCGAUAUCGAAACUGGUUGCUCAUGUGAUUUUAGAAAAUUAUAAUUCAAGCAUGGAUGAAGCUUUGGCAUAAACGAUGCCACUUAUAAGCUACAAAGCAGGAGGGCUUAAUUGCUUAACUAACAAGGUUUAUUUAUACAUCUUAAGGUGGAUUCAACUUGCAAACCUCACAGAAUGAUCCCCAGCUGAUAGAGGUUUAAUUCAUCAGAUAUUUCCCUAACUGAUCGGCGCUAAAUUUAUGUUAAUCUAUCAUUACAAAAUGCUUUCUUCUUCUUUUUUUCCAGUCUGCAUGCUUUGUUAAUUUAUGACUUUUCCAAGAUGGCAAGAGCCUCUAACUUUUCUAAUUGCUCUCAUGGUUGCUUUCCCUUUUGACGAAUCGUAUGUGUGAUGUGUCUUAUCAUUCUCAAUCUUCUUAUAUCACAUUUUUUGUGACUCGGCUGUUGCAUCCUGGAAAGUUUGUGUAAACUGAGCUAACCAUUGAUAUAUAUAUAUAUAUAUAUAUAACAAAUUUUUCCUACUACCGGGUGUAGUUACUCCCACUUUUGUUUCAUACGUUCUAGGUAGUAUCUAUCAUAUCGAAGAGUAUGUACGCGUAGUAUGUAGUAUAUAAAAAUGUUUAGGUAGUAUGUAUACUACCUUUUUGGUAGUAUGUACCAUAUUUUGUGCAUACUCUAUUUAAUGUACAAAUAUGUACGUAUUUCACAAAUACAAUAAAACUAUGAGCUCACUUGCAAUUUUUUCAUAUAACUCGCUUUGGAGUAUCUUAGAUAUAGUAUAUGAACACACUAAAAAUAAUAUAUUAGAGUAUAUACUACCACAUGGUAGUAUAUGAGAAAUGGGUGUAGCUACACCCGGUAGUAGGAUGCAUUUUCCCUAUAUAUAUAUAUAUAUAUAUAUAUAUAUAUAUCGUACAUAGCUGAGGCGAUUCUACGUGUUGGCUGUGGGGUCAUCUGACCCACAGCCUUUUGCAUAAAACAGCCUAAAACACUGUAUACUUACUAUUCAUUGUGAAGAUUUUUUUCGAAAAAUUAGCUAUGACCCCACAGAUACUUGAGGCUGGCUUCUCCGCUGGUACAUAGUUACUUUAAGCCUCCCUGCAAAAAACAAACAACAGUUACUUUAAGCCAUAUGCAAGCCAUUCUUACAUGGAAUGUUCUGGUUUUAUCACUUUGUAUUGUCCAUCGAUGAAUUGAACCAUGCAAAUGUCUUCAGAUUGUUUCAUGGGCGAGCCCAAGUUCAUGACUAACAUGUUGUCCCACUAGCACAUCAUGAGCCCACUCAUAAGAAAAUAUUAAGCCUUUGUGAGAAAUACCAGAGCACAUUUACAAGUGAACUACUUGUUGCUCUUCGCUUUACUGGUCAUGUAGAAACAACUCUCUUUGGUCUGACUCUCUUAUGCCUAGAAACUAUUUCAGCCAUGUGUAGGAUUACCAGUAAGGGUAGGGGCACAAUAGUUCUUUUUAUUUCAAUAGAAGUCAUAUGAGCUACGAUCAUCUUUGUUUGUUUUUGAAAGAUCUAAUAUAAUAGUGAUUAGUAAAUAUGCAUGUCUUUUCAGAUGAGAUUGCUUGAUGCUAUAUAGUUUUACUCUCUUAAUGUAGACUGGAUGCAUACUUUCAUCAGUUGAACCAAUUACUCAUGGAAGGAAUAAAAGAUCCAAGCUAGGAAGGCAUGUUUCAAAGGCACAAGCAUAAGUCUUGGAAUAAUUGCUAUUGGUGGUUAAAAAAUUCAUGUAUGUCGAUGUGAUGUCUAUGAAAGAUGUUAAAUCUGCUUGAUGUAUAUGUCUAAUCUUUAUGUUGGCGAACAGGUGGAUGUUGACUACAUUAACAUUUCCUUGUGUUGCCUUAUUAGUGUAUGCCAAAAGAUGCAAAUCGUGUGGAAAUGCAAGAACAUGAGCUUCUGUUCUUUGCUUU